rnacentral:rRNA from 1 species
CGUAACAAGGUCUCCGUUGGUGAACCAGCGGAGGGAUCAUUACCGAGUUUACAACUCCCAAACCCCUGUGAACAUACCAAUUGUUGCCUCGGCGGAUCAGCCCGCUCCCGGUAAAACGGGACGGCCCGCCAGAGGACCCCUAAACUCUGUUUCUAUAUGUAACUUCUGAGUAAAACCAUAAAUAAAUCAAAACUUUCAACAACGGAUCUCUUGGUUCUGGCAUCGAUGAAGAACGCAGCAAAAUGCGAUAAGUAAUGUGAAUUGCAGAAUUCAGUGAAUCAUCGAAUCUUUGAACGCACAUUGCGCCCGCCAGUAUUCUGGCGGGCAUGCCUGUUCGAGCGUCAUUUCAACCCUCAAGCCCAGCUUGGUGUUGGAACUCGCGAGUCAAAUCGCGUUCCCCAAAUUGAUUGGCGGUCACGUCGAGCUUCCAUAGCGUAGUAGUAAAACCCUCGUUACUGGUAAUCGUCGCGGCCACGCCGUUAAACCCCAACUUCUGAAUGUUGACCUCGGAUCAGGUAGGAAUACCCGCUGAACUUAAGCAUAUC